GCCGUAGCUCAGGGGGCAGAGCAUUCGCUUUGCAUGCAGAAGGUCCCCGGUUCAAUUCCCAGCAUCUCCA